GUGCUCGCUUCAGCAACACACAUACUAAAAUUGGAAUGAUACGGAGAUUAGCAAGGCCCCUGCACAAGGAUGACACCCAAACGCAUGAAGCGUUCCAUUAAAAA